GCCUUUUUUGUACGUAGCGUCCGUUAACGUGAAGUUUUCUGAUGUGUACAACCGUUCCUAACGUGACUUCGGACACUUUCGUUUAAUCAGGAGGAAUGUGACCCGUUAACCCACAACUCGCUCCCAUCUCCAGUAGCGACUCCCCACAUGCUUUCAGGAGUUUAUGUAAUCGAAGGAAAGCCACUAAGCUAAAGUCUUACAUCCCACAAAGAUGAGUGCUGCCGCGAGUUGGAAGAUGCUGUAGAUGAGAGGGAAGGCAAACAUCUUUUCCAGCUCCUCUGGGCUGAAGGACAGCUGGACGAUAGUGCUGCACAACUGGGCAUUCUGGAUACCUGUCUCCAGUGCAAUGGGUUGACCCACAAAGCGAGCCAGGAGGAACCCGAGGCUCAAUCCAAUAAAGGGGUAGACGGUGCCAAUUAUCCACAGG